rnacentral:misc_RNA from 1 species
UGAUGGCGCUUGGCAGAU